rnacentral:lncRNA from 1 species
UCAGCCAAACCCUCGGCAAAAAAUUUCACUGUAUAUGUAAGGUAAGUUUUUUAUUUUUUAUGCAUAUACUGCAUAGAUUUUGAUUCCACUGACACACGACAAAGAGGUUGGCUUAGUGGUUUGAGGGGUUCAAAGCUAAGUUGCUUGGACUCUCCAAAAAUGUUACCACACCGGUAUCGGAUCCUUUAAAAUUAUACUAUUUUGGUGGAUCCGACACGUACCUGUCAACAUUCUUGAAGAGUCCGAGCAACAUAGGCUCAAAGUUUACCUUGAGGUUCCAAGUUCAAAUUGUAGGUAGGAAGACGACCAUGGAAGGAAAUAUACGAAAAGUCUCUAGCUAGCGCAGGCUAACUGUCCAGAUUGCACGUAAUUCAUCAGGAGGUUUACUAUAGAGAAAGAUUGAGGACUAUACUUAGUAGAAUCCUGGACAACAUGAACUUUUAUCCUUGACAGGGACAAAGUUGAAAAGGGAUAUUGGGUCACUACUAAAAAAUUACUAAUUUCCCUUGAUUCGCGGUUGGAAAAACCUCUAUUUCUAGUAUUCUAUUUAUCAUUUGUGGAACAUGUUUGCAUAGGAUGAACAGUAUGAGAUUGAUGAUGUAGGAGCAACUAGGAAUGUCAUCAAUCAAGUGAUGAUAAACUAUGUUGUGUGCUUGAUUUUUCCACCAGGUGCAACCCUCUAGAUAGUUCAAAAACGAUGAACACAACCCCAUUAGACUAAUAACACCACUUCAUUUUUUCAAAGACAAGUAUUCCCUGUAUCGAACAUGAAGACAAGUGAUAGUAUCUAGAUCCUGGACUCCAAAAAGUCGUCCUUCAAAAUAAUACACGAGAUGAGAUAAUAUAAUGUAACUAGCUGAAUGUUGGAGACUUUGAGCCAAAAAAUAUUGUACCUUUAACAUGAAGAUGUGCAAUCACAAAAAGGAUUCAUGAUACAACUUAAGCCUACUACUGCAAGGCUACGCCAACACUAAUUAUAGUUAGUGCCCCUCCUCCUGUAGCUCUGGUGUUGGUAACCUUUUCCCUUUGUGUCCAUCAGAAUUUUGAGGCCGGCUUCGCGACUCAGAACCACUGUUGUGAAAUCUACCUCUAUGUGAUGGAGAGUUUGCCCUCUCGCCAUGGCCUGAAGAAAAUUAAAUACAAUAUGAUCAUUAUCAUGACAAAAUUGACCUUUAAAUUAAGUUAAAUGAAUUAGCAUUAUGAUUAUGACAGAAUAAAGGAGGGCCUUGGAGCAAUGGUACAGAUCAACCAUGGAUGCUUGAGCCAGGACAGGCUACAUCACACCCCAUUAGAGUGUACCCCUUCCUCGAACCAUGCAUGAAUGUGAGAGAAUAAAAUGACAAGUAUAUACAUAUAUAGAUACCUUUGUUACGUCGAUUAUAUCUGAUGUAAACUUCUCUGCCCUUCACUGUAAUGUAACACAUCUAGAAUUGAACAUUGAAGAAAGAAGACAAAGCAUUAAAAGAUGAUCACAUAAUUCAAAGCUUAUAUAACACUUCACAGAGAAUUUGUAGAAUUCAUUACUUAGACAACUUUUUUAGCAGAAAUUUCAUCUUGAAAAUGCAUAAAUCCAACGCAGUAUCCAUCCUACAUUUAAUCUUUAAACAAGAGAGAAGAUUUAAGUAAAUGAUAUAUACUAACAAUAACCAACAAAAUGUGAAAUAAAUAUACCUCAGAAGUUUUGAGCAGAAUGUCCUAAAUAUCAAUUGGUACAAACUCUUCGACAAUAGAGUAGAGAUCACUUCUUAUUGUGUUGGUUGGCAAUCCUCCAAUAUAUAUUGAUUUAUCUACAACAUGUAAAUGACAAAUCAAAGAAUGGCUUAUCAUGGUCAACAUUUCAUCAACUAUUUGAUUAAGCAAAGAGAAAUUUACAUCGGAAAUCAUCAUUGACAUUGCCUUGUGCAAAAUUAGUUGACACAGUUACAGCUUUAAACACACCACUCGAACUAGAUGUUAGCGCCUGAACUGGGCUACUGGCUCGAGGGAUUUUUGGUUUUGAUAGGAGACCAUCAUCAGCAACAACCCUUACAUUUUUGUACGAUGUAUUUGUUGGUGGCGAGGACCUACCUUGCUUCAUCUAUAGGAGUCUGAGUCAAGCAAAAAAGUUAUGAUUUAUGCAUAACUAGCACGCGAACCAAACACAUGCACACCAAACAAACCUCAAAAGUAUGACUAACCAUUGAAGCAUAGCUAAGUUUAGAAGCCUCAUUCUGAACGACUGAGACCAUCUCAACAACAGAUUUUUCUUUCUCGUUUGAAGUUAGUGAAGACUUCUGGACAACUUGAUCAUCUGUCGUCACCUCAGUCUCUGAAUUAUCAAAAACUUCCCUGAUAGUAUUGUUGAUUUUGCUCUUAGUAGCCGGUUAUAAAUGCAAUAGUAAUUCAAAUGGAGCAUAGUUUAAUAUAGUUAACAAUAGAGUUCAAGUUCUACACAUUGACAAGUUAAAUAUUUACACAAUCAGAUCAUAUUAAUGUGUCAUGACAAGUUAAACAAAAAACAAAGUUUGACAUUGGUUUAAAGGAAUCAAUUGAAAUGACCAUAGGAGCAACUAAAACAUAUUCGUCAACCUUUUCCUCAACAAGUGUUGAAGAUUCUACCACACCAACAAAGUGAAAAAUAUCAUUCAACACAUAGUAUCCAUUUUCUUGUGGAGCAAGAAAAAAAAGUCCGGGAGAAAUUUUUUAGGGAAAAGACUCAAAUAUGCCACUGAACUAUCAGAAAUGACCCAUUUAUGCCAUCCGUUAAAAGUUGGGCUCAUUCAUGUCAUCGCCGUUACAAAACUGGCUCAUCCAUACCAUUACUUUUUAACAACCAGUUUUUAAAAACAGCCUUGCCACGUGACAUCUUAUUAGAGGGCCACAUCAUUUUUUAUUUUUUUUUUUAUUUUUUUUUUUAAAAAUUAAUUUUCUUUUAAUUUUUUUUUAUCCAUUAAAAAGAAUCCACCCAAUUUUUUGAUCCAUUAAAAAUUAAUUUGAUCUAUACUUUUAAAAUUUGAUUAAUUUUUCAUGAUCAAACAAAUAUUUAAAGAAUUUUUUUUUUAAAAUCUACUACUAAAAUUUAUAACCAAACGCUAUUCUAAUUAAGCAUAUAGUAUGUCUUAGCAUAUAUGAAAUAUUUUGUCAGCCAAAUGUAAGUAACUUUUUAGUUUUUUAUUUUUUUAUUAAGCAUAGAAUGACAUCAUCAGCAUCAGGGGCGGAUCAAGCAAAUUUAUGGCCUAAGGCAAAAAUCAAACGGAGACCUUGCGUUUUGUUUUUUUAUAUAAAAUUUUUCUUCUUUUCUAUAAUUAGUAUUUAAUAUAUUUCUUAAAAUUUGUAAUUUAUUAUUACUAAACAAAAAUAGGCCCCUCAAAUUUUGGGGUCUUAGGCGGCUGCCUUUUCUCCUAAAGGGUUGAGCCGCCCCUAAUCAGCAUUCAACAUUUGUACGUAACACUUUAUGCAUCAUCAUUUAUCAUUGCAAAAACAGGAAGGCGACAACAUGCCGACAUAUAUAGUAUACGUAGAGUUGGCAAAAUGAGAAGCUAACUAUUAAUAAUAUAAUAAUAAUAUUUGAUGUUUAUAUAUCCCUUCAGUUUCAACUGAAAAAUGACAAAAACUUUAGUUAAUGUGAUUUUUUUUUUUAAAAUAAAGUGAUAAAAAGCGUGGAGUGUAUACUCUCUCCGUUCCCUUUUAGUUACUCGCCCAUCAAUUAAAAUAGUUAUUUUAUUAUAAUAUAUUUAUUAAAUGAUGUUUACUGUUGUAUUUGAAAUUAAUUUACAGAAAAAAAUAAUUAAUAUUAAAGGUAAAAUAUGAAAACAAUCUUAAUAUGUCAAAAAUGACAAAAAAACGAAUCGAACUAGAAUGUUUUAAGAAUAUAUUCAUGAAAAAUUAAUCAAAUUUUAAAAGUAUAGAUCAAACUAAUUUUCAAUGGAUCAAAAAGUUGCGUGAAUUCUUUUUAAUGGAUCAAACAAAAUUAAUUUUUUUUAAAUUAAAAAAAAAUUAAAAAAAAUUAAAAAUGAAGUGGCCCUCUAAUAAGCUGCCACAUGGCAAGACUGUUUUUAAAAACUAUCUGUUAAAAAGUAAUGGCAUGGAUGGACCGGUUUUAUAAGGCGAUGGCAUGAAUGAGUUCAACUUUUAACGGAUGACAUAAAUGAGCCAUUUCUGAUAGUUCAGUGAUAUAUUUGAGCCUUUUCCCAAUUUUUUAUUGAGUUAUCUUACUCAUUCAAGCAUGCAGUUACCGCCACAAGAACACCUCCUCCGGCAGAUGAUCGGGAGUCUAUAUUUAUGACUUCCACUAUUUUGUCCUUGAUGUGAGAUAAAAUGAUAAAAUCAUUUGUGCUCUGAAAUUAUGCAAAUAUCAGAAGGCUAUUAGCAUCCACUUGUCAAAGAUAAGAAAAUCUUAAGCCAAAAAACCUUUAGUAACAGCUCAAAUGUUAAUGAAAAUGAUAAAAUGAAAAAUAGAUACAAAAAGUCUAUAAAUUUUUCUCCAAAAAUCAUAAGUCUAAUUAAUGUUUCCCAAUGUUAAAUAUGCUAGAAGAGAAGCAUUUCCCCAAUGUUAAAAAUGCUAGAAGAGAAGCAUACACUUUUUUGAAGUGAAAUUACAAGUAAAAUAACUAAUCUGGGAAUCCAGUAUACAAUAAUUCCAAUCUUAAUUCAAUGACUCAAAGUUAAUGCUGAGAGAAUCCUUUAUUCCAUACAAUGGAAGUUGAUCCUAAACUUAGCUCAUAUGAGCAGUGAAAGAGAGAAGAAGGAAAAACGGAAGAAACCAGUUUCUGGAUAAACUGCUUAACCGACUUUCAUUACGAGCAUAUAAGUAUUUAUAGAAGAAGAUUACAAAAUAUCUAGAAACUACCUUACAUCUAGCAGUAAGCUGUCCAAUUAGGCUAACUUCUAACUAAUCACACGCAGCAACAGUGCAACUAGUUAAUCACCUAAUCUUUCUAAAUUUUAGUUAAUUAUCUUAGUACCCCCCUCAAGUUGGAGAUGUGGAAAACACAGACAACUUGUGUAAUGCAACAGAUAACAUGUGGAAAAUAAUCCCACAGUGCCUAACCUCACAAUCAGGAGUUAAAAUACUAUACCCUACAACAAUAAUAUAUUCAGUGCAAUCUCAUACAAUGAGGUCUAGGAAAGGUAAGUAGAGAGAUUGUUUUCGAUAGACCCUCGGCUAAAAGGAAAGAAUGUCCAAAACAGUAUAGAAAAAGAAAUAACAAUAAGGAAGAACAUGGCAAAAUAUUAUAGAUAACCUGAUAAGUCAUUGUGAAAAGUAGAACUACGGUACUUAUCUAACUAACCUUAUACCCUAAUUCGUGUCCUCCAUAACUUCCUAUCUAAGUUCAUGUUAUAAAUAAUAUAAAGUUGCAUCAUGUCAUGUCUAAUUACUUCCCCCAAAACAUUAUAUCCUAAGAGCCAAAUAUUUUUAAAAUUUAAGACUUGCCUGUUCACAAAAACAACAUCGAGCCAUCAAUCGAUUUCCAUAGAUAAACUAUCUCAAAAUUUCCAUUCAAUGGUAUCAACAAUAAAAACAACAAAAACCCUAACCCCCCAAACCAAAAAAAAAGUUGUAAAAUUUCAGCAUCAACUUUAACUCAUCCUUGAAGAACAGAGUGUAGCAAAAUGAAAUCCAUUGUUGAAACUCUGAAUACGAAUAAAAAAUUGAUGGCCACCACAAUGGAUAAUACACAUACACUCAACAUGCACAUCCUACCCUCCUCGCAACACAUUUUUCUUCUUCUCAAUCUGCACAAAAAAAGAUAUAGAUUAUAUGAUUGGAUUUUGGGUUUUAAAAUUAUCUAUAAAGAGAUUUUUAGAUUAUUUAUAGAGAGCGCAGUAGAUUGAUUUGUUGGCGAAGGAAACAUAGUAUAGUGUUGGAUUUCUAGAACUUCAAAAUAAACUAAAGAUAUGAAAAGUUUACCUUAAAUCACUAACAAAUCCCAAGAUUAAUUCUCGAAAAGAGAACCUAUUGAUAUUUUUGAUCUCUUAACAGCUUGCAUUAAUUCUUGUUGAAUUCCUGCUAUACAUCAAAUGACAGCAAAGACCUCUCAUGCUAAUGCUUCUGUCUCAUAUCAUCUACCUUAUUUGCCUCAUGAAAGAUUAAACAUAUUAUAUGUUACUUGAAAUACAAAAUUAAAUAAGUGAAAAAAACUAAUUUUUUUUAUGACUAUUGGUUGUAGCUGCUCAUGUCAGAUUCGACCCCCUACUUAGAGCUCACGAGAUUACCUCCCUGAACAAUGAGGGAGAUUUUUCUUUCUCUCGAGUCGCGUUCUAAAAGUAAACAAUGUAAUCAAAGGCUUUUAACAACCAAAAUAAGAAAAAAGUAAAAUAGAAGAGAAUCUCUAUAAGUAGGGUUCAGAGAGGAUAAUUGUGCACACCAUACCUCUUUGUAAAAAGGAUGAGAGAUUGUAUGUGUACGUGUACGACCUUACCUCUUAUUUUCCUCCCUUUUCUCUCUUCUUAGUGUAGGAGUGAUUUUUUUUUUUCUCUUUAGAUUUUCACUUUGUGCAGUAAUGGAACCAGUAGAUGAUGGUGAUGAAGUAAACUUAUGGAAAGACAAGUCUACAUUAAUGUUGUCUUUUGUUCCAUUGCUUGCAAUAAGCUAUAUCUUAAGAGAAAUUAUUUUCUAUGUGAACGUAGCAACAUAUAAAUGUUCGGACGAUUUUGUAGAACUUAUACUUACAUUAGCAAUUUCUGUAAACUUAUAUAAUUAUUAAGGUCUGAACCCGCAGGAUUUAGGGGUCGUGGGUGCUUAUAACAGAUAAUAACAAAAACAACAGAUAGUAAUGGAUCAAAAACUACAAUAAAAUAAUAUGAUUAAACCUAACCUUUUCACAAAAUUCCUCAAAGCCUAACCGAACAUUCAUCAACCAUCCUAUAAACCACAAUAAAAAAAUACGAAUUUAGGGGUCGUGGGUGCUCAUAACAGAUAACAACAAAAACAAUAUAUAGUAAUGGAUCAGAAACUACAGUAAAAUAAUAUGAUUAAAGCUAACCUUUUCACAAAAUUCCUCAAAGCCUAACCGAACAUUCAUCAACCUUCCUGUAAAUCACAUUAAAACAAUACGAUAAUUGAGAUAUCAAAUUGUAGUUAGCCUUCACCAUAGCAAGGACCCGUGAUGCUUACAUCGUCAAAAACUGCAUGUCUACAUCGUUAAAAACUGCAUGUCCUACAUACAAAAAAAUAAGACUUUAUAAAAGUGAAUAAAGGAAGGAGAUAAACCUUAGUGAAAAUCGUGUUGUAAAGCGUAGGUAUUUUUGGUUUAGAGUUGCUGUGUUGCUUUCUUUGCAAACUAUUGGUAAUUUUGGUUUAGAGUUGCUGCUUUGCUUUCAUUUUUGCCUAAUUUAUAAUUUAGAAGUAGGGUAAUUAGGUUUAUAAGGGUAUUAGGACUUUCAAUAGAAGUAGGGCAUUAGGUUUCAUAAAAAGAAAAAAGAUGAUUUUGUUUAAAGGAGAGACUUUUAAUGAAGGGUAAAAAGGGCCAACUCCAUUUAUAAGGGCCUUCCCACUUUUAAUAUAAUAGAGAUAGAGAUAUAUAGGUGUGUAUAUAUAGUACAUAUUGAAAAAAAACAUGUAAAUUUGAAUUUAAUUUUUUUAUUUUACAUUUCGGACCGGUAAUCGUCCCAUUUCUUGAAGUGGGUCGGGUUGAACCGGUCCAAACUAAUUCUAGGCUAAGUGGGACGGUCACUAUUUGGGGAGAUUUUACUGUUGAGCCUGGCCUAAUCCAUUAAGGACCGGCCCGGACCAGACCAGCUCACAAACCGAUUGCGCUUACUGGGUUGGUGCCGGUAUGAACCGUCCCGUCCCGGUUGAUAGGUUUAUCUUAACUGUACUCCUGUGCUUCCGUGCAACCAUCUGUAUAGUCUCCAUUGUACCUCUCUGGAAUUGCACUCCAAUACAAUCCUUCACAGCUAACCAAACUUCCUUUGUCCAUGUGCAAUGCUGGAACAGGUGCACAACUUCUUCUUUAUCCUCUGUACACAUUACACACUUUAUUGUCACAUACAAUGUCCAUGCUGGCUAAUCUGUCUUUAGUGAGUAUUCUGCCUAGAGUUGCUAACCACACUAUGAACCUAUGUUUAGGAAAAGUUACCCUAUUCUACUCUAAUUCAACUCCAAUUAAUCUUCUUUCAGCAGGUGGUAGAGCCUAGUAUCCCCAGGAGAUUGAAUACCUUCCAUUAGUUGUUAGACAAUAGUGACCAUUGUUGUACCAGCUGACCAUCUUAAACUUCAACUUAUGCAGUUGUUUCCAAUGCCAACUGCUAUCUGGGGGGUGGGCUAGUAGUCCAAAAAUUAUCUCCAUCUUUCAUAUAUAUUCCAUUCACCCAUUUAACCUAUAGUAGGUCUUUGUUUUCCAUAGCAUCCAUAUUAAUUUCCCCACUUGCUAUAUUCCAUAGUUUACUCCCUCUUAGGGAUGGCAAUGGUGCGGUGCGGGUGCGGGUGCGGUGCGGGUUUAUUCUAACCCGAAAGUUUUAAAACCGCACCGCACCGCAUCACCUUUAAACCCACAUAAACCCGCCCCACAUCCAUAUCCAUGCAUAACCGCAUGCACCACUCCAUGUUUUUAUUUUUUUCUUUUUUUAAAAAAAAUUUGUAACUCCAUUGAAAAUCAUAAUAUUUUCAAAUCUACAACUAGGAAAUAAUAACAAAUUUCUAUUAUAUCACUUUUCACUAAAAAAUUAUCAAAAAGUAUAACGUGUACAAGUAAUGAUCAAAUAUUAUAUUUUUAUUAAAAUGAAUAGAGAUGUUAAAAAAGCUACUAUAAAAUUAUUUAUUUGUAGUGUUAUACAUGUCGUUUUAAGUAUCAUAAAACUUCAAGUAAAGAAUAUAUAUGAUUUUAGAUAUAUUCACGAGAACAAUACUAAUUUUUAAUUUAAACCCGCAUAUACCCGCAACCCGCACCGCACCGCACCAUUUAAAAAAAAAACUUACUUUAACCCGUUCCGCACCACAUAACUUAAAACCCGCACCGCCCCACAUAGCUUAAAACCCGCACUACACCGCACCCGCACCACCCAUUACCAUCCCUACUCCCUCUAAUAUUUAAACCUCCAUAUUAUUUUGGGUGACACAACCCAGCCACCAAGGAGCCUUUCUUUUUCGCAACUGCACCGUCCCACAAGAAUUCCUUACAUAUUUUAUCAACUUCCUUCAAUAUGGAUUGAGGUAGCAUAAACCCAGAACACCAAAAAUUCUGUAAAGAAAAUAACAGAGAAUUUUGACUUGCAAUUUUCCUGCAUAAGAUAGAUGUCUUGGGGACACUACUCAGAUUUUGUCAGUAAUCUUUAGACAUAAUUGAUGACAUUCAACUUUGCUCCAUUUCUUGGGUGACAAAGAUAAUCCUAAGUAUCUUAUUGGGAAUGACCUUAGAGUAAACUCUGUCAACUGUAGAAUUUCCAUUUUGAUAUUAUCCUCAACACCAGCAAGAAAGAUGUUUUAUUUGUCUGUGUUUGCCUCUAAGCCAGUCACCAUAGAAAAAUGUCCUAAAGCUUCCUUUACCCUUUGUACAGCUGCCACAUUCCCUUUACAGAAGACCAUUAGUUCAUCUGCAAACGUAAGAUGUGUCAAACCUUGCCCCUUACGGCUUACACAUAGGGUGGUAUCAAAACUCAGGGAGCUUGCUCAUUUUGCUGGAAUACCCUAGAUAGAUAUUCCAUUACCAAGACAAACAAUAGAGGGGAAAUCGGAUCCCCUUACCUCAAUCCCCUCUUCCCUUCAAAGUAUCCAUGGGUCAUUUUACAUUCACUGAGAAUUUUGUUUUUGUAACACACAUCAUUAUCAGCUUCACAAAUUUGGGAGGGAAGCCUUAUCCAUGUAGCAUUUCCUCAACAAAUUCCCAGCUUAUCAUGUCAUAAGCUUUUUUCAAAUCAAUCUUCAUUAAACAUCUAGCAGAUGUUUUCCUAUUGUAGUGUCUUAAGAUAUCAGGGAACAUUAGUACAUUAUGUACUAAAGACAUUCCCUUGUACGAAUGCACCUUAGGAGUUAUUGACCAGUGAAGGUAAUACUGCCUUUAGCCUUCUACAUAGGAUCUUUGAUAUGCAUUGAUAGCAUACAUUACAACUGGAAAUUGGUCUAAACUGACCUGCAUUUGCCUUUAGACCUAGAUCAAGUUGACAUUCUCUUUAUUCAAUGUUUAUACAUAAAAUUUACCAAAAAGAAUAAAAAUGAGUGUGGUGAUAUAAUUGUUUUAAAGAUAAACAUUCUACAAAAUGUAAAUCCUUAAUUUUUCGACGACAGAAGCUGACUUGUUGAACGUCUGUAAGGGACUUCCUAUCAAAUUAUUUUGUGGUGUUUCGUCAAACAAAAAUUUACAUUUUUUUAAUAGUGAAAAUUGUGGUUGUCUUGGGAUUAGACUUAGUUUAAGUUAAAAUCUACAAAGUCUAGUGUUUUAAUAAGUGGGUCACUCUUUUUGAACACCUCAUGUCAUGGACUAUUAUAUUUUCUUUCAAUUAUUUUAUUAGCUAUUGUUUAAAACAUGAUUGUCAAUUCUAUGUUUUAAACUUAAGAAGAAUAUUAACGGGUAAACUCUAUGAACGAUUUGUUUUAUGUGUUAAAGUGAAAUUGUAAAUCAUUAAAAUGUAUUUCUUAAUUUAUAUUUUAUGUUUUUAUUUUGAAAUAAUAAUAAUUAGGUAUUUGGACAUGAAUUAGUUGAUACUUAAAAAAUACGUAGUAGUAUUUUAAAUUAGAUUAAAAAAGAAUAUUAUUUGAUUGUCGAAGAUGUGUUCGAACCUAAAAAAGAGUUCGACGUUGACACAAUUCGAUCCUUUUUAUGUUCGAAUGCAAUUUUUAACUCUUUCUAUGUCUGACGAAAAUUACAUGUGUGUGUAAUGUAAUGGCUGUGAUGUCUAGUUGUAAAUUGUAAUGAAUGUGCUGAUAGGUUCGUUAUGUAGGUAAUCGAUGUAAAAUUUGGAAGGGUUUGAAGUGGAUUCUUUUCCCUAGAUUGAUAUUUUGUCACUUGUCAUUAAUGAAAACUUUUAACUGUCAUGAAAAGUGUUGGGUGUGCGAAUAAAAAAUUCACUAAUUGAAAAGUCUGGAAGUUAUAUAUAAGGAAUAGAAUAUCUUAAUAAUGUGAGACCUUUUAGGAAAAACAGUGUAAAUUUGGUCUAAAAUGGACAAUAUCACACCAUGUAAGAAUAUUUUUAAACUGGUUAAGCCCAACAAAUGGUAUUAGACUCGACAAGAUGAGUUUGCUGAUGUGGUGAAAUGAUGGGGUGAGGGGCUUUCUUUGCCUUAUCUUACGAGCUUAAAGAUGCAGAAACACAAGAAGAAACUAGUUAAGGGCUCCAGUUGCCAAUAAAAUACUCAAAUGAUGUUAGGUGACACACAGUGAAUCUCGGUGGCUCGUGGAUAUUGAUGAUGGGCCACGUGAAACUUAAUUUGAAAGGGGGGAGGGGGGAGAUUGCUGGGUAUGAAAAUGAAAGUCCAUAUUGGUAGUUAAAAAUUAAGUCUGGAAAGCUACAUAUUAGAUGUAUGAUCUCUUAACGUGUGAGAUUUUUUGGGGAAAGUCGUACGGAUUUUGUCCAAAGCUAUCAUUAUCACAACAUGUAAGAGUAUCUUUGAGUUGGUUGAGCCUUACAAUAAGUAAAGUCUUGAAAGCUUUAUUGAAAUUCCUAAGUUGUUACUGGCGACAACUAUGAUACUAUAUAUUAUAAAUAAUUGUCUACGAUUUUUAUUAGUUGAUAAUAUACGAAGAUAAUUAUGCUCACAACAUUGUUUUAUGCAUAUUUAGGGAAUGAAGUUUCUUUAAGGUAUAUAAAAUACGUUAAUAGUAAGAUGAUGAGAUAUGGUCGAACCUCUUUAUGAACUAGAGGACAAUUCUCGUGCCAACACAAACCCAAUAUUAUGAAAAUCAAAACUAUUAAUAUAUUUUUAUCUGAACAACUAAUGUUAAUUAGGAGAAUUUUAAUCCUAUUUAUUUUAAUAAAUUGUAUUUAGAAUAUAACAUAUUCUCAUAAAAGUAGUAGUUACUAUAGGGAAGAUCGAAUAGAAUGAAACAUAUAUAAUGGUUACUAUAAAGAGUUCGAUUUCAAAUCCAACGAUCUAUGGACCUACAAAUUUGCUAUUAUACAAUUCAUUAGGUGUUUUCUUCCAUUUAUUUUACUUGUUGAUUUGAUAGAUAUCUUAAGAAAAUAUUUGUUAGAAAUUUAUUUUGCUAAGUUAAUUUUAUUAAAACAUUUAAAUUUGACAUGACAUCUUCAGAGCAAACUAUCCAAUAUUUAAUUAAAUAUACAACUCCUUUUAUAAAAUAAGUAACAAAUUAUUACUCUUGGCAAAGAAUCUGUUAAUUUUAUAAAGUAACUUGGGACAUUAGUUAAAAGUGACAAAAAAAAAAUUUCAAAAUGAGGUGUAGGUGACUCAAGUCUUAAUAAUUGAGUGUAGGUGAUAAUUACUUUAUUAUGGAUUAAGAAAGUUGGGAAAGUUUGAGAAUAACCCACAAGUUUUUAAAUUUAUACUUUGAUCCAAAUUAAGUUAACCUACUAUAUCAGGAAACGGAGGAAAAAAUGUGUUUCUCUCUCUUCUUAUCCAAUUCUCUCUCUUAGCGAUUUUUUGUUGUUCAUUAUUGUUGCUGCUUUAUUCAUCAUCUUCUGCUUCAUUAUCAUCAUCUUCUACUUCAUGAUCAUCAAUCUUCUUCUUAUUAUUGACCAUUGUUGUUGUUACCGCUACUGUUGUUAUUUGACCAAUUUCUUAGGUCAAUUUUUUUUUCAUACAUCACUUUCCACUUUGGCAUUACUUCAUAGGAGACUUUGGUAAGUCAAAGUAUGAUUUUUAGUUGAAUUUGUCAUCUGGUAACUGCUAUUGUGUUGUUUUUUCAACAAUAGAUAGCAAGCAAACAUGAAUGCAACAUAAUAGCCAUCCGUUUAAAUAGAUCACUCAUCUGUUGCGACAGAUGAGCCAUCUGUUGCAACGGAAGACUCAUAUGUUGGAUUCAUGUUUAUGAUUCUUUAGUGCCGUAACAUGAAUUAAACAGAUGGGUCAUCUAUUGCAACAUAUGACCCCUCUGUUGCAACAGACUAGUUAUUUGUUGCAACAGAGUAAAUAUCUCUUACAAAAUAUUAGUAACCUAUUGCAACAGAACCUGAACUCAAUUCCAAUAAAUGCGUUGUCUAUUGAAACAGAUAAGUCACCUAUUGCAAUAGGUUAAUUAUCUGUUGCAACAGACCUGAACUCGAUUCCAACAGAUACGUCAUCUGUUGUAACUGGUAAGACAUCUACUGCAAUAGGUUAGUUAUCUAUUGCAACAGAAUCUGAACUUGAUUCCAACAGAUGCAUCAUCUUUUGCAACAGGUAAGUCAUCUGUCGCAAUAGGUUAGUUAUCUAUUUCAAUAUAUCACUCAUUAGUUGGAAUCAACUUUAAAGGUUCUUUAGUAAUGUAAUAUCUAUCCCAAUAGGCGCUUUAUCUGUUGCAACAGAUAUAGUCUGUUGCAACAUAUGAUUCACCUAUUACAACAGAGGACUCAUCCGUUAAAAUCAUCUUCAGGAGUAUUACAUGAAUCCUAAUAGGUAAGUAAUCUAUUGCAACUGAUCACUUACCUGUUGUAACAUAUUUUUCACCUGUUACAAUAGAUUACACAUCUAUUAGAGUUCAUGUUACGACACUAUGAAAUCACUAUUAAUUUUAUUAUGAUAUCAUUAUUAAUUUUUUUAACAAAUGACUUUAUUUAGGUACUACUAAUGGAGGGAUCAAUAACAAUAGGGAUGGAUUGUCAUGGUCAAUGAAUUGAGAAAAGCAAUCGAUAUAUAUGGAAUUGGAAAGAGGGUAAAAUGUAAGAGACGAUAGCUAUGACAGUCCAAAGUGAUGUUUCAUAUGAUAAUUUUGUGAUAUCAUCAGCUAUUAUGGACUGAAUUGUCAACCGGAAGAACUCGUCAUCAGCUACAUGCACAGCUCCUUUGAAAAUCAGAGGGUACUAUCUUUCAAGAUAACCGAUCAGGUUUGGUUGCGUGCUUAUCUUAAUGAUUCACCCAGGCCGGUGUUAAGGGUUUACGUGGUUGAAAAGAUGAGAGAGAAUGAGAACCAGAAUGUAGAAGAAAAACAACAACAAUAAAUCUUUGAUGAUAGGUUGGAUGAUCUUGACAUAAAUAUUUCAAAUGAUGAUCAAACACCAAUGCCCGUGUUGCGAGCAAUACGGUGGACAGUUCUUCUCAAUCGACACAGUUUGGCAAUCGUCAAGACGAAAAGACCGGACUUUACAAGAGAAUGUCAUUCAAGGAUAAGAAAGAACUUUCUACUUCUUUGUUUAUUGCUUGCUUGAAAAAAGAUUUCAGAAUAAUGAAAGUGAUUAAUUCGAGCAAAGUCUUUUGCUUCAGAUGUGCUAAUCCGAACUGGAAGUGGCGGUUGAGAGUGGUGAAGUACUUAAGUUCUGACUGAUUUGUUAUUAAUAAACAUGUAAUGUAUCACACAUGUGGUUUGGAGCACAUUUCGAGUCAAAAUCCUUAUACCACGACAAAUGUUCUCAGUGAAUAUUUCAAGAAUAGAUUCCUCAAUGGCAAAGAACCUUAUACAAGGGAUAUGGUCAAUAAAAUCCUUAUGAAAUUGGGUGUCAUGAAAAGUUAUUGGAAGAUGUCUAUGGCUAUGGAGAUUGCCAAGGACUUGUUUAGGGGGACACACGAGCAUGGGUAUGCAAUCAUCAAUGCCUACCACUACAUGCUUGAGUCCACAAAUACCGAAAGUAAGACAGCAUUGCAUGUUGAUGAAAACGGAAGGUUCAAGUCCCUUUUUAUAUCUUAUGGUGCUUGGAUUCAAGGUUUUCAAUAUUUGAGAAAAGUCAUAGCCGUUAAUGGGACCUUCUUGAGGAGCAGGUAUAAUGGAGUUUUGCUAACCUUCUUGAGGAGUAGGUAUAAUGGAGUUUUGCUAGCAACGGUGGCGCAGGAUGCGGAGAAUCACAUCUUUCAUGUCACGUUUUGUGUGGCAGACAAGGAAUGUGAUGCCUCUUAUGGAUAUUUUUUUGAAAAAAUGCGAAGCUGCGUCAAAUAUAUCGAAGAGUUGUAUUUUAUUUUGGAUAGGUAUCCAAGUAUUCCAAAGAUGGGUUCAAUUUUCUACACUUCAGCUCACUUUGGUUGUUGCAUCAAGCAUCUUGGAGAUAACAUUCUGAACAACUUUCACUACGCAAGGGUCAUGACAUUUUUUUACAGAGCAGCUAAAGCAUGUAGUAGAGAGGAGUUUUUAGACUAUUUCAAUCAAAUAAUAGAUAUGCAUCCCAAGGCAGUAAAACAUCUCAUACGUGUUGGUUUCAAGAGAUGGAGCCACAUUUUCUGUCUAGCAAAUAUGUACAUUCUUAUGAAUUUAAUGUCUUGUUUGAGUAACAAGUUUAGUAUGAUGUCGCACUAAGUGAUUCUUUUGUAUUGGUACAAUAUUAUGACGUCAAACAUAGAUGAAUUGGUGAAUUCAUUGUUUGGUGAUGAAAGGGAAUUUUCCAUUAUUGCUCUGUUUGAUAAAAUAAACCAGAAGUAUGACAGAUUUUUUCACGAAAGGCGUGUGAAGUUUGAGAACGCAGGAACCAAAUUUAUUCUAGAAGCGGAAAAAUAAUAUCAACGAACAUCAGUCUUGGGAAUAGGUUAUCUGCUCAUCAAAUAGUAGAUUAUAAGUUCAGUAUCGACGGUCAUGGUGAUGCUCCACGGUCGAUCUUCAAACAAGAUCUUGUACGUGCAGAGUUUUUGACUUGGACAAAAUACCCUGUCCACAUGCUAUGGCAAUUCUUUGAGCUCAAUACGGUGUAAAAUAUGGAACUAAAACUUAUGAGUACUCCUCUCCAUAUUAUUCAGUGGAAAAAUACAUAAUGGCAUAUAGUGAGCAUAUUACUCCGGUGUCUCUCGAAGAAUCUUGGAUUGUUCCUACAGUGCUUUGGGGAGAUUAAUACCUCCUCUAUAAAUUGAUCCAAACACUAUCAAACUGGAAAGAAGGCCUUAUAAAAGGAGGUGUGGAGUCAGAGAAUCAUUUUCAUCAAAAAAAAAAUAAGUGCUCCAUUUGUAAGAACGUUUGCCAUAAAAGAACUACAUGCUCAGAUCGUAAUCCACCAUGAUCGUUGUAAUAUCAAAAACUUGUGUUGUUGUUUGUUAUGAACUUUACUUACUUAAAUCAUUAUUAUGAAAGUAAAUGUUAUCAUUUAUUAUAUAAAAUAUCUUUUUUAUUAACUUGUGCAUCAAUAAAAAUAGGCAAAAUAGGAACUAAAUACAACAGACCACAAAAUUAUUUUCAACAGAUUACCUAUCUGUUGCACUAGAAGGACAUUAGCUGGAAGAACACAAUAUAGUUUAUCAAAUUGAAAUGUUUUCCUCCAACAUAUGACAAAUUUGUUGCAACAGAUGGAUAAUCUGCUGAUAGAAAUCGAAACGAUGACCAAUUUAUUUCAAUAGAUGGUCCAUCCAUUGAAAGAACUCAAAAAUCUUGCUAUUGCUCCUUACAUCCAACUGUCGACAUGUUUGUUGAGAACAAGAAAUAGACAAAAUGAAAAAUAAAUAAGAAUUAAAAAUUCAAAGUCGAUUAAAAAUAAAUUUUUCAUUAAACAAAAAAAAUACAUUAGGUAUAGAUCUGAUAUAGAAAAAUAAAAAUACAUACGCUAAAAGAAAUAAUGUAUUCUAAUUAUUAUUAUUAUUAUUAUUAUUAUUAUUAUCAUCAUCAUCAUUAUUAUUUCCAGCCGGUCAAUCUUCAACCGGCAGCAACAGGGCCCUCCUCUGCUUAUGAAUCUCUCGGAGUAUCUUUGCUCUCACGGAGCCCAACUCCCACUGUAGGUCAUUAACCUGCCUCUGAAGUUUCUGCACAAUGUCGCACAAAAUAGUAAUAUCCCAAACAGGAUCAACCACAUUUAGAACAUGCAUGAAUUGACAAAAAAUGUAAACACAAGAGUAAAGAAAAGAGUCCGAAUGUAAUACAACGUAUAGUACCAACUGGUAGAUUUACACUGAAAAAAUUACUUCAAUGAGAAAGGAAUAUACUCUUUAAGAGAAGUGAUUGAAGAUGUAAUACGAAAAGACAAAAUGCAAGAAAUAAAUAAAGUGGAGUAGAAUGAAGAUUAAGGAGAGACCUAUUUAUAGAGGAUUGAAUCUGAAUGUGUUAGGCAAAAAGGCAUGACUGUUCAGCUCCAUUGUAUUAAUUACAUUCAAACUGUUGAGUUUUUGUUUUUAGUGAAAAGUCGUGACAUUUUCUUUUACAUUUAAACUUUUCACCUUUUCAAAACGGGUUCUCUCUUAAUAACAAUCGUUAUUAUUGAGUUGUUGCAACAGAUCAUCCAUCUGUCAUAACAGAUAACCCGCUAUCUCAAUAGAUUUGCCAUCUGUUACAACACAUAGUCUGUAUGUGCAACAGAUGAGACAUCUAUUGCAGCAUAUGGAUUAUCUAUUGCGAUAGAUGGACCAUCUGUUGGAGUAGAAGUUUUGAUUUCUUCUAAUAGUUGAUUCAUUAGUUGCAAUAGAUGGAGAAUUUGAUUCAUCAGCUGUUUUGAAUGUAUUAUACAAAAAAUCACAAUUGUUCACCUCUUUUUUAAUAGUCAUCACAUACCUUAAUUAAUCCAAAUUGGUGACUAUUUUAUUAUAUAAAAUAAAAAAACAGAUUUAAAAACAAAAAAGGUGAAAAAGUCAUUGUUGUAGCACUUAUUUUUUCUUGACGGGCAUGUAGUCCUUUGACAUUGAAAAUGGUUGCUCUCUGAGCCUCCGUAGUCAUGUACACUACUUAAUGACGGGGUAGGAAGAAUAAGGUGCGUACAGAUAAAUGGAUCAACUUUCAUGUGUGGAUUUAUGUAUUAUUGAUCAGGCUUUCAUGACAAACAAACAUAAAGUACAAUAGUUUUGUGAAUGUAGUUUUUUAUCGAUUAGACAUUGAUCCUUGAAAUAAGAUCCUGCAUUUUACAGUUUAUUUUGAUAGGUGCAAACUGAUAAGGUCGAAGGGUUCCAAAAAGGUGGUAUCGAUAUCCUAUUAUAAUUUAAUGAUAGUUUUGUUCAUGUUUAUGCGUCAAGAUUUGAGAAGGUUCAAGUUUUGGGUGUCAUUGUAGACAUUCAACUAGUGAUUGGACUUAUUUUAAGGGUUCAAUGGACUUUUUAAAGGCCUUCGAAGCCUCGCGCUGCUUCAGAAAAAAAUGAAAAACCAAUAGUUAUUGCCCUAGUCCAAAUUUAUAUGGAUAUGCUGCUCGAGAAGAUUAUUAUACAACAAAAGGUGCUUGCGAGAAUACCUGUGUUGUAAAGGGAAGGUGGAGAAUACCAUAUAUCAUCUCAGACCUUAUUUAAGAGUAAACACAGGGAAGUAAGUAAGGAACUUCUAGCUAAUCUGGCCAAUGAAAUUGACUUGAAAGAUGAAUAAACUGAAUGAGCUACAAAUGUGAAAGCUUAUCCAAAUAUUAAAAUCCGUCAGUCGUUCUUGAAAAAGAAAAAUGAUGAAGAGAAAUGGAGAUGGACACUUUGCUAGGGACUACGACUAGCGAGCAUGGUUUCAGUGAAGACCCAUAAAGAGUAGGAUCAGAACUAUAAAGAAGCAGCUUGGCAAGCAUAGCAGAUUGGUAAGAUUAUUAAUUAAGAAAGAAACCUAAACCAACAACUCCAGAAGUAAAAAUAAGGGAAUCCAAGGCGACAAUUUCUGAUGUCUAACUUGUAUCCCAUGCCUUCUAUUUAUGGUUCUGAUCAGGUUAAAGGUAGUAGAAACAAAAAGGUCUGAAGUUGGGCAGAAAUCCCAUGCCUUGUUGUUUCCACUUCCUUUGACCAGACCAGAACCACAAGAAGAAGGCCUGGGAUACAAGUUUAACUUCAAAAAUUGCCACUUUGGCUUGAUCCCUUAUUUUUCCUUCAGAAGUUGUUGGUUCAGGUUUCAUUCUUGACCUACAAUCUUAACACCAUUGGUACUCGCAAAGCUCCAACCUUAGAGUUCUUGUCCUGUAUUUUGUGGAUCUUCAUUUAGGCCACGCUAGCUAGUUGCAGUCCCCUAACAAAGUGCACUUCUCUAGUCCACUUCAACAUUAUUCUUUUCAAAAUAUACUGAUGGUUUUUAUUUUUGGGUACACUUUUACAUUUGUAUUUCAUUCAAUUUUUUUCAUUUUUCAUGUCAAUUUCAUCCGCUAGAUUCGCUACACGUUCCUUCCUAUCCUGUGUUUCUUCUUUAAUAAGGUCUGAGUUGAUAUAUGGUCUUCUCCACCCGGCUUUUCACACAGUUAUUCUCCCAAGCACCUUCUAAUGUAUAAUAGUCUCCUCGAGCCACCCAUCAUAAAAAUUUGGAUCAGGGCAAUAACUAUUGGUUUUCCAUUCUUGUUUGUAGCAGUGCGAGGCUUUGGAGGCCUUUCAAAAGUCCAUUGAACCCUUAAAAUCAGUCCAAUCACUAUUACACUGCCACUAAAAACUUGAACCUUCUUAAAAAUUGAUGCAUAAACAUUAGAAAAAUCUUUAUUAAAUCAUAACAGGUUAUCGACACCACCUACUUGGUCCCUCAGCCUUACCAGUUCGAACCUAACAAUCUUAACUGUAAAAUGUCAUAUCUUGUUUGAAAGAUUAACACCUAAUAGGUAAAGAACCAAUAUUCACAAAAUCAGUGUACUAGAUGUGUUUUUUCAUGAUAGGUUGAUCAGUAGUACAUACCCCCCACAUAUGAAGUAGUUCCAUCUGCAGGCAGCUUAUUCCUUCGAACCCAUCAUUAUCUAGCCUUUAAUGUUGGUCGGGCAAAAGUUGAUACACUUUCACUUUAUUUUAUCUACAAACAAGAACAAAACAUUUGAUGUCAAACAAAAGAAGAACAAGAAGAACAUUACAAAAGGGUAACACAAAAUUGAGUGAAUACAACACAUUAAAAUAAGCAUUGAGACAUAUGGCCCAUCUGGUGUAACAGAUUCCCCAUCUGUUCAACAGAUUGUCACACCCCUUUUUUAUAACCAAAAAAGAUUUAGAUUUUAAGUUUGAAAAGGAUUCUAUUAUUAAGUGACAAAAGAAAAUAGUUUGUUUCAAAAAGAACUAUUAACAAUCCCCAGCAGAGUCGCCAGAGCUGUCACACCCUUUUUUUAACCAAAAAAUUGAUUUUAUGUUUGUAAAGAGUUCUAUUAUUAAGUGACAAAAGAAAAUAAUUUAUUAAAAUUUAUUUUUUUUAACAAUCAAAACUCAGAGUCACCACUUAGCAUAAAUAGGGUGUGACAAGUUACCUUUGAAAAUAUAUUUUCAAAUGAUUUGACUCUUUAAAAAAAUUGGUCUACGAAUAAAGAUUCCAGUUAAGGAAUUCUAUUGACCGAGGGGAAGGUGUUAGGCAUUCCUCAAUCUCUUGGUUCGACCACGGUCUCUGUAUAGAGUAUAUCAGCUAGCAUAAUGCUAUUAAGUGAAUAGACCAACAAAACACAUAAAACAAGUAAACAAACAAAUCAAACAAAAUUCAAAACCAAAAUAAUGUCCAGUCCAAAUUAUAUAGUCCCAAAAAUAGAAAAUGCAAAAAUAUAAAUCCUAUUCUAAACUAAUCCUAGACUAUGCUCUACCCGAUGCCUCAGGCCUUGAUCACGAACGUUCUUUGCAUACAAAAUACUUUGGGGCAUAUCCCGGUGAAUAGGUACAAAUGGGCUCUGGGCAUUCCCCGGUUAAAUAAAUGCAUUUUCCAAUUUCAAGCGACAAAAUGAAAUAAUCUCAAGCACAAAAAUUCAAUCAUUCCACAAUCAUCAAUUUCUAUAAUUUGCCUAACCAACUGAAGAUUUACCUAUUAAAUUUUUGGCCUAAAACAUGAGACUGUCGAAUUCAACGACAUCCAUCAACGAAUCAAAAAAAUCAACAUUCACCUUAUACGAUUCUUAAUUCCUCUCCCAAAACUCAUUCUCACUCACAAUUAACUAAUUCUUCUACUAUUACUCUAAUUUUCAAAAUCCAAAUCCCAACAUCAACACAUACAUGCAACAAAGAUUCAAGCAUGCCAAACACACAUUUCAUUCACAAUCACAUAAAAAUUAGAGGGAGAGAAGAGAGAAUUGGACCUUAAUUUUACUUUUAUUCAAUCAACUUGAACCGAUUUAAACAACAACAGGAGCCUCAUGAACUAAUGAACCACAAAUAGAACCUAAUCGGCCAUCCUCGACUUUUGUUAUUUUUUUGAAUUCUUUCCAACAGAGACCAAAAUUUGCAAAUAACAAAAUCCCAAACCCGAUACCCACUGCUAUGCUCUCUUAUCAAUUUCAAAGAUGAAUCUUUGGUAUUACCUAGCUAAAAUUGAAAAUAGUGUGGUGGAGAUCAUUCGUUAUUGGUUGUUGAUGAGAUUUCUGAUGAGAAGCUCGCUGGAAUUAACAGGAAACGGUUUAUUUUGGUAGGUUUUGGGAAUUGGGAGACGCCUUUUUUUGGUGAGAAGAUGGUGUUUUCCAAUGAAAGAUCACCGAAAAAACGAACUUCCUGGUUUGUUUUUCUCUCUCAUGUCCCCUCUGCUUCUCCUCUCUCUAUUUGCUCAAAUUUCACUCAUUAUUUGCUCUCUGAUUUUCUCCUUUUUGAUUUCUGUCUGUGUGUGCUAGUAUGUACAUAUGUGUCAAUAUUACGGUCCAAUAUAUGUGUGCCUAUGGAGAAGAUGCAAAAAUUGGAGCCGAUCUCUCCUUAUUAUGGUGUGGGUAUAUCUAUUUUUUUUAUAUGUGAGAACUCUGUGAGCUGUGGGAGUGACGACAUGUGUAUGUUUAUUCUCCCUUCACGGAAAACAGAAGAGUAUAUGUGUGGGGUCCCCUCUAUUUAUGUGAUGUGUGUAUAUAUUAUUCUCUUUUCCUCAAUUCUUUUGAAAGGCCAAACAAAAAAUAUAAUGGGAAGGGAUACGUGGGUUGAGGUAGGAGGGUCAGGGGGUCUAGGGGUAUAGGGGUAGAGGGUUGGAUAGGGUAGUAAGGUGGGUAGGAGUGUGAGUGGUUAGGAUAAGGUGAGGUUGUUUAAUUGGAUUGGAUAAUGUGUUAAUUUAUUAGGGUUUUGUUAUUUUUUUGUCUUUUUUAUGGAAGAUUUAUGGUAUGGGGUGGGGUGUAUGGUAAUGUGAAGGUAAAUGGAUAAUUUGGGCUUUCGGGAGGGGCAAAAUUAUGUGUCUAUAUCAUGCCUCUCUUUGGGUGUAACACAAAGUGUUUUUAGACAAAGAAGUAGACAACGAGACAAAAAUUUUUUUCUACCAUUAUUCAAGAGAAAGGAACAAAAGGAAGAAUGGCAAUCGAGCCUUGAUCUUAGGCAUUCUACCUAUCUCGAGUUAUGUGGGAGUCAAGUCACAUGUGGUUUAAAGGGUUAAAAAGAAAAGGCUNNNNNNNNNNNNNNNNNNNNNNNNNNNNNNNNNNNNNNNACUUUGUCAUUACAUCAAAACGAAAAUCACAAGUUAAGAAGAUAAAUAAAAUUAUAAAAGUCCUAUCUAUGCAUCAACUCUUGAUUCUUUGUCUUGGGUCUCCAAUGCUUUCAAAAGUGACAAAGAUCUAAUCUUUCUUGGAUUGAACUUGAGAAUAGAUUCUUUCUCCAUACAAAAUUUGGUGUUGGAAAUGAACUCUAACAUUGACCAUGUUCUUUCAUGUGUGAUUUCUAAACUUUGAAUUUGAAUUUGAAAAUAUUCACCCUAUUCUCCAAAUAGACUCCUGACUUACAGUUUCCUCACUCUAUUCUUCGGGCGAACUCCCGACUUGCAAUUUCAUCACCAUGUUCCUCAGGCAGGUUCCUGAAAUCAACAUCAAGACUAAAACAAACAUUAUUCCAAAAACAUAUUAUUAUAAAGAGAGUACUCAUUUUUCAAAAAUAAAGUCUCAUCUGAAAUGAUGUUUCCAAUAACAUGAAUUAAAUCUUUUUGUCCAAGUUUAUCAUCAAAAAAUUUUUAGUGGGUGUCAAACCCAAUCAUAAUUACUUGCAAAAUGCAUAAUGCAAAGGUGGCUCAAGACUCUGAUCAAUGAAUUCAUCUCUUGAGGAUAAGGAGGCGUGUCUCCUAAGGGCUACAUGGAAGGACUCAACUAGAAAGUAUGGCUUCUAGGAAUCAGGGAUUGAGUUAGGAAGUGCGUCUCCUAAAAAAUAAAAUUUGAAACACCCAAAUAUGGAAGUGUGUCUCCCAAGGAUCAAGUGUAAUGACUCGACUAGAAAGUGAAAUUUGUAGGAGUCAAGGCUUAAGCAAGGAAAUGUGUCUCCUAAGGGCCAAGUACAAUGACUCGACUAGAAAGAUAAGUUCCUAGGAGUCAAAGAUUAAGUUAGGAAGUGAACCACCUAACAAAAAAAAAUUGAAUACCAACAAGAAAGUGUGUCUCCUAAGGGUCAUGUGGAAUGACUCAACUAGAAAGUUUAUUUCGUAAGAGUCAAAGCUUAAGUUAGGAAGCGAACUACCUAACAAGAGAAACUUAAAUACCAACAAGGAAGUGUGUCUCCUAAGGUUCAAGUGAAAUGAAUCGACUAGAAAGUUAAUUUUCUAGAAGUCAAGGCUUAAGUUAAGAAGUGAACCAACUAACAAGUGAAACUUGAAUACCAACAAGGAGUAUGUCUCCUAAGGGUCAAGUGUAAUGACUCGACUAGAAAUUUCAUUUCCUAGGAGUCAAGGCUUAAGUUAGGAAGUGAACUACCUAACAAGCAAAACUUGGAUACCACCAAGGAAGUGUGAUACAUGUAUGAUUAUGAUUAUGACACUUUUGAGUAUUUUUGAAGACUAGUCACUAAAGAGCUCUUUUGUCAUUUCUCUAUUAUUUGUAAUGUUGUAUAAAUAGAACCUUGUAGGGUUUAUUUUCUUAGUUUAUGCUUGAUAUUGAAUACACUACUCUUGUGAGAGAGAGUUCUCAAAACUGAAAUUAAGGCAUAGCAUAAGGGUGGAUUCUCUUGUGUGUUGCAAAGCUUGAGACUUUGGUGCUUUGAGAGGUGGAUUUGCCUCUUGUGUCAUUGUAAGAGUUAGGUGUUUGUUGUAUGAAUUUUUAAAGUUCUAAGAGUGAAUAUGCUCUUGGGUUGUUAAAACUACAUCAACACUUGUCUAACUAUCUAUCUUUGUUUCUUGUCCUAAUCUUGUAGUUUGUAUUGUUGUUGUUCAAGCCGUUUGGUUAUUGUGGUUGUAAUAUUGUUGUUAUUUAUUUUUAUUGUCAUAAUAUAGUUCGGUGUGCUACUGGAAAUUAGGUGUUAAACACCUCAUUUCAUGAUGUUCUUUUUGUGUUCUUGAAUCCGAGAGGGGUCACCAAAAGAGGUCCAUAGUUCCUUGAACUAGUGAACUAUUUUGGUGUUUGUUUUCUUGUGUUAUUGGGAUGUAUUGUAUCAUUUGGUAUCAUAUCAAGGUUUGAUUUUGUUCCACCAAAAUCAAUCUUGGGAUUGUUAUCUUGAAAAUAAAAAAAAAGUGAAGAAAGAAAAAGAAAAAAAGUUACUGUUCAAGUUUUUAGGGUCUUUCAAAAAAACUUGUUUUUUGUGUGUUUUGUGUGUUUCUAGUGUUAGAUCCUUGUUACCUGACACUAUUAGAGUCUAGAAAUUGAAAAUCCCUACAAAAAAGAUGUGUCAAAAUUGAAAAUGCCCCCCCAAAAAACUAAACCCGUUUUUGACCCUAGGUCAAAUUUUGAGUUUUUGAAUUUGUGUUUAUCUUGUAUUUUUAGUGUUAGAUUUGUGUUCUCUAACACUAUAGGAGUAUAGGAUUAGAAUUUGAGCUAAAUUGGAGGUUAUUUGAGCCAUCCACCAUUGUUAAGCUUGAGUUUGAAGAAACCUGAAGGUGGGAUCUCAUUGUGGGAGGUUGUUUUGAACUCACGUGUGUUUUGUUUUGUAGAAUUUGUAUUGUAUUGUAGUGUGUGGCGUUGUGGACUAAUUGAGUGUCUUGUUGGACCGUAACUUGAAGGGUUAUUUUUGAUAUAACCACAAUGAAAUCUGAGGCUUCAAAUGCUCAAACAAUGGAUAAUAAUGCCAUCAAUCUCAUUUUGGCUCGCCUUGAAACUAUGUCCCGAGAUAUGGAUAGGUUAAAUGUGGGUCUUGAGAAAUUAGAUAUGGAUGUGACAUCAAUAAGUGGGAGAUUAGAACGUAUGGAAAGCCAAAAGAGUCGACCUUCCACACCUCAAAACAAUUCCCCAACUAAUACUCCCAGGACCAUGCACCAAAUGCUAUAUCUACCAAUUGCCACAAAUCCAACCAAUCUCUACUCCUGAAGCCAAGAACAAGAUAGACCAAACCAUCCCCCACUCCACCAAGUCCAACAAGAAUGGCUUGGAACCCAAAUACCACCACCAAACCCAGACCCUCUCAUCCAAACUCCACUUGACCAAAGACCUCACUAUACAAAUCCAAUCCCGCCACUACAAGCUCCACUUAACCUAAAUAGACCCAUCUAUGUUGAGGGCUAUGGUAGGGGAGAACAACAUGGUGGUUAUGGGUCGUAUGAUGAUGUUUACUUGAGGAAAGAAAGAAUGAGGGGUAGACAUGAAGAGUUAGACCGAGAGGUGAGAUAUGGCCAUCCAAACCGAGAUGUACGUCUCAAUUCCAUCAAAGUAAGCCUUCCCAUUUUCAAAGAUGAGAGUGAUCCUGAAGCCUAACUUGUAUGGGAGUCAUCUUGUGAUAAGAUCUUCCAACUUAAUGAUCUCAUCGAAGAAAAGAAAAGUUGCUAUGCUAUAGCUCACUUUGAAGGGUAUUCUAAUACAUGGUGGGAGUAUGUUAAACAGUUUGGGAAUGAGAUGAUUGGGGGACAACCUCUUUCUUGGUUUUAGUUGAAGAACCUUAUGCGGCAAUGGUACUUUCCCGAGACUUAUAGGCAUGAGAUUCUUGCCAAAUUGUAUAAUUUGAGGCAAGGGAGCAAGAGUGUCAUAGAUUACUACGAUGAAUUUCAACAAUUGAUGUUGAAACUUCACCACCGAGGCGAGCAAGUAAGUGAUGACAUUGUGCACCUCAAGGUUGGGUUAAACAAGGACAUCUCCACUCGCAUAACACUUCAAAAAUUCGACACCAUAGAUGGCAUCUUCCAUGCGGCUUUAGAGGUUGAGAGGGAGCUCAAAGAAAACUCAUUCAUGGCGACUCAACCCGAGGCCACUAAGGGUUUCCAAAAAUAUCCUCCAAGGUAUGAAGGUAAAUUGAAUUCUACUUCCAAUCCCAAGGGGUUUCAAUGCUUUAAGUGUCAAGGGUGGGGGCACAAGGCUAGUGAGUGCCCAAACCGGUGGAAUAUGAUCCUAAGAGGGGGUAGAUUGUACUAUCUUGGAGAAGAUAUGGGCAUUGAAUUGGUUAAGAAUGAUGACAAACCGCAAGAUGGAGAGCAAAAAAAAGCCGAAGUGUAAAAUGAAGAGUAUGGAAAAGAGGUGAGUCCGUGAAUUUGUGGUUAAAUUCCUUUCAAGAUGAAGAGGAUGAUACAAGUAUGAUCAUGAUCAUGACACUUUUGAGUAUUUUUGAAGACUAGUCACUAAAGGGCGCUUUUGCCAUUUCUCUAUUAUUUGUAAUAUUGUAUAAAUAGAACCUUGUAGGGUUUAGUUUCUUAGUUUAUGCUUAGUAUUGAAGACACUACUCUUGUGAGAGAGUUUCUCAAAACUGAAAUUAGGGCAUAGCAUAAGGGUGGAUUCUCUUGUGUGUUGAAAAGCUUGAGACUUUGGUGCUUUGAGAGGUGGAUGCCCCUUGUGUAUCAUUGUAAGAGUUAGUUGUUUGUUGUAUAAAAUGUUAAAGGUCCAAGAGUGAAUAUGCUCUUGGGUUUUUAAAACUACAUCAACACUUGUCUAAUUAUUUAUCUUUGUUUCUUGUCCUAAUCUUGUAGUUUGUGUUGUUGUUAUUCUGGUUGUAACAUUGUUGUUCUUCAUUUUUAUUGUCAUAAUAUAGUUUGGUUUUCUUCUAGAAAUUAGGUGUUAAACACCUCAUUACAUGGUGUUCUUGUUGUGUUCUUUAAUUCGAGAGGGGUCACCAAAAGAGGUCCAUAGUUCCUUGAACUAGUGGACUAUUUUUGUGUUUGUUUUCUUAUGUUCUUGGGCUGUCUUGUAUCAAAGUGUGUCUCCUAAGGGUCAAGUCGAAUGAAUCGACUAGAAAUUUCAUUUUCUAGAAGUCAAGGCUUAAGUUAGGAUGUGAACCACCUAACGAGCGAAACUUGAAUACCAACAAGGAAGAGUUUCUCCUAAGGGUCAAGUGGAAUGACUCGACUAGAAAUUUCAUUUUUUAGGAGUCAAGGAUUAAGUUAGGAAGUGAACCACCUAACAAGUGAAACUUGAAUACCAACAAGGAAGUGUGUCUCUUUAAAAAUUCCACUUAAAUUACCUAGACAAGGAAAUGUGUCUCCUUACAAAUGUUGCUUGAAUUAUUCAAACAAAGAAAUACUUCUCCUUACAAAUGCCACAUAAAUUACCUAGACAAGCAAAUGUGUCUCCUAAAGAUUAGAUGAAAGGAUUCAACCAGAAAAUGUGAUUUCUAGGAGUGAAGGUUUAAUUUAGAAAGUUGCAUCUCCUAAUAAAUGAACCCAAAUUACCCAAUCAAGGAAGUGUGUCUCUUAGAUAUAUUGGAUUUUGAGUUUUUACCAUGGUUUUAAUUACCAAACCUGCUAAGUAAUACUGCCUCUUGCAUUCGCAAAAGUGAGGUAAUGUGUCUUUUGAUAUUUUAGGCUCUGAAGUUCUUGAUUUAAAGGUAACAUAUGUUCCUGUUUCAUAUAAAGUAAACUUAUGAGUUUAAGAAUAUGGUGGUUGGCAUGCAGCUUUAGCUUUUGAGGUGAUUGCUCCUGCACUUUUCACCUCUAAUCUUACUUCCAGCUAUUGACAUAUCAUGGUUUUGCUGCACCAUUGAUCCAAAUUCAGAUUAUUAAGAGUGGAUCUAAAACAAACAUAGUAUCUCUGCUUUGCUAUGUUUCUCAGAUAACCCCCUUUUAAUCUUGGUAUUUCUAUGAAUCCCCCACAUUUGUCUAUUGACAACAACUUUCUGCAUGCCUUGUUCGUCUCACAAUCUUUUUUCUUUUAUGUGCUGGCCUUUUGUCUUGCUUUGUGCAAUUUAAGAAGUUGGUAGCCAGUUUUGAAAUCUUUUCUCACUUGCUUUGACAUUCAUUUAACUCAAACACACAAGAAAAAUGACUUUCCAUUUGAAUAAAUGACUCAAGAAAGCAAAAAUAGAAAUAUAAAAAAGAAAGAACACACAAUGAAUGUCCCCAUUGAAGUAGAGAAAAGAAAAAAAUCAUCUAAAAGUGUCAGACAACUCUAAUGAUUAGGACAUGCAUUUGGAUUAAACUGUCUGAUCUUUCUAUCCCAACUUUCACCAGUUGUUGUUGAGCUAAUGACCCUAAAAUUGAGUUGCUGCUAUAAGUCAAUUGCACUCACAGACCUCAUUCGUCUAGUGUCGUCUUAAGGGUUUUUGCCAACAAGCCUCUCUCAUUUUCUUCAGCUCACCAUUUUUUACGAUAUCAGUGAGGGUUUUCACCAACAAAAUUCUCUCUUUUUUUUCAACUCACAAUUGUCUUAUGGUGUCCGUGAGGAUUUUCACUGAUAAGACUCUCUUAUUUUAUUUCUCUCCCAAUUCCUUAUGAUAAGGAAGAUAAGUAGUUCUCAAAAUGCAUCAUCAUAUCCAUUGAAUGCUUAUCCUUAACAUUCUCAAAGAUUGAUCUGAAGGUCUUUCUUUGGUUGUAAUUAUUGGCUAUUGAAUAGUGUAAGAAUAAAAGGAUGGCAUAAGGCCUAAACGACACUUGAAGUGGGGUGGGACUUACAACAUUUGGAAUCGACUCAAACUACAAAGAUUAACUCAUGCCCAAUUUGUUUUGACUGGGCAAUUUAAAUUUUUUAUGUGGUUGGACCGAGCCUAGAGUAGGGUAGCCUACGUAUCUCACCCCCGAAAGAGGAGAAUUAGGUCAAACGUAGUUUAGACAACUUGUUCUUUCGCUUGAAUCUGAUCUCUUUUCUUCUUUUUUACUUUUAUUGGCUCUUUUCUCUUUGGAAUUUUUCUGACUCUAUUUUUCUUGACACUCUUCUUUUUUCUUUCUUUUUGGACAUAUUUUUCUCCUUUUUUGAAGCUUUUCUGAUUCUAUUCUUUUGCUCGACACUUUUCUUUUGAGCUUUGUUGACUCUAUCCUGAUUCCAAAAGAGGGGUAUGAAAGAAAACAGAACUAAAGCUCAAAAAGGGUAAACAAAGGAUGCCUCAAUGUUUGGAUAGUAGAAUGAAAUGCCUUCAUCAUAUCAAUUCUUGAAAAUGCAAGUACAUAUCAUGUAAUAUGAUAGUGAAGGAUGAAGAUCAUUUGUGACAUUUUUACAAUACUAACUUUAACUGAGCUUGUGCGUCACUACUUCUACACUUUGUCCAACAUACAACUCCACUUUUGUAGUACAUCCCUCACAUCAAAUGACUCAUGCUUUUGUAGAGCUUAUUUUCUUUUUGUUCCUCUUGAUAUAGGAUUACACAUCCACUAUUUGACUUAAUUGAGACAUGCCUUUGUAAUGCCCUGAAAAUGUGUCCCGAGAUAUCAUACGAUACUCAAGAUAACAAAUAGCCCCAAGCUAACCCUGUAAGCCUUCUAUAAGCUCUAAAACUUAGACAAAGAUAAUCUAAGCAUGCGAUAAUAUUGGAAUACUGAAUUACUGUCUGAACCAUGCUAAAUUUAAUUGAACAUAAUAUCUGAAAACAUUUAACUUAGAAAUCUGGCAAACCAACACUUAAAAUCUGAAAUGUAUCUAACAGUCGGACAAACCUUUACUACUACUAACUAGAAAGCCGCUAGGAUAGACCCCUAGCUGACUCAAACUGACUGAAAACAACUGAACAAAUUACUUUAUAAAGAUGAAAAUCUGAAUAAAUAGGUCCCCUCACUAUGAGGACUCACCAACUGUCGGGAUAUAGAUAGAGAUGCUCACGACCAAUCAUACUAUAGGAACUGAGCACCUGAAUGUACAUUAUUAAACAAUGUAGCACAUAAACAUAUAUGUGGAUCAAUACUUUUGGAAUGUACUGAGCAUGCGAGGGUGAAUGCAUAAGUAAAAGCAGCAACUAAAUUAACAUAUAACUUGUAAAGAAUGCACGCUAAGUGUGAAUGACUCACCUUGGCUUGAAUAAAUCAAAAGAUACAAAAUAUAAACAUAAUGUAACAGAGCAUAAAGACAGUCUUUGUGAGCCAUCACACUUAGUUCUAGAAGCUGUACUUUUACUCUUUCUAUUGGUAGUUUCUUCUAACCGACAUAAAUCAUGUGACCUGUCAUGAAGUCCAACAUCUUACCCACGUUGGGGAGAGAUAUUCUACCUUUGCCAUCAAAAUAGAACUUUAUCUUAAGUGAUAAAUGACUUGUACCACUAUGGGAACUUAAACCUAUGGUGGCGCAUGGUUCUGGGGCAUGAAACCUGAGAAUCAUACCCAACUCAGUGCUAAAUACUACUCCCAUACUUAUCGCUCAGACUUUAGGAAAAUCCACCUUAAAAUAGCAUAAAGGUUUAUAAAGAAAACUAGUUAUGCUUCUCUUUGCUUUAACUCAUAAACUAUAUGAACAAGGUGGAUUUCUUAUCUUAGAUUAGGAUCAAAAGAUCAAUUUCUUUCUUAAAUCUUGGUAAAACAACUUAUAAAAGAGGGCUUAAGAUCAUAGUAUUCUUGAAAUCUCAAAACUCUUACUUGGGUUUAAAGUAUAUGUACUUAAAUUUUUAGAAUUUCACAAUAAAGCUUCAUUCUCAACAAUCACCUUGAAAUCAUUCAACAAUAUCAAUUCACAAUAAAGAAGUGCAAUUCAUGAUAUAAACCUUCAAGUCAUAGCAUAAAUAGAUGAGGUAAACAUUCACUUCAAUACAUAUAUCACUUGUAAAUUCAUAAACUCAAAACGAAGUGGUUUGGGUAUGGACCCUAAUUUGCAAAUCAUGAAAUCUAAAGUUAAAAACAAGUUUGGGUACAAGGAUGAAAGAGUAUCUUUGUUCAUAACCCCACAUACCUUAUUAGAUUAAAUUUAUGUAGAAACUUGAACUUUGAAUUCCUAAUGAUGUUCUUGAAGCUUUUUAUUGAAGUUUCUUGAACCCGGAAACUUGGAUUCUUGAUUAUCUUGAAGAGGGAAUGAUGAAGCUUUGGAUUUCUUGAAGUUAAAGUUGAAGUUUUAGGGUUUCUUGGAGAGAAAUUUGGUGAGGAAUAAGUAUAUUGUGCUUACAAUAACAUCAAAUCUUAUGUAUUUACGACUUAGGGAGAGGGUAAUUGACCUAAAUGCCCUUUGUGAUUUAAAGUCCCAACUAAAAUACCGUUUAUUGGCUUGGUGUGACACGAUGACUAUCUCACCGCUAUUACUGGUGUGAUGCGGUGGAAUCGCGUUAAGCUACUAGAAUUGAGAUCCAAACAUGAGUGUGAUUUAGCAUGUCACCACGACACGGUACUUGUGCCAUCAUAAUUACUGGUGCGAUACGGCCUAAUCGCGUUGGGAUACUGGAACUGCAAUCCAAAUACGGCUCAUCCCUCAUUCGAAAAUUUUGAUACUUCCCUAAGACAUGAUCCUUACACUCCUAAAUACAAAUCAACUCAAAAACCAUCAUCGCGGAGCCCAGAAGUUCAACUUAAAAAUUCUCUAAGUUAAGAGGUCAAAAUGUGAUUAAGUCCCUCAACACUUAGUUUUAUUUUUAGGUUCUAAGUGUCUUAUGCAAGCAUUAAGGGUUGAGCUGUGCUAAGAACGUACGGGGUAUUACAACCUUUCAAUUGAUGACUAAGUUAUUCUUGUGAUUCUCAAAAUAAUUAACUUAAUUUUCAAAGAAGGCUUCAACUUGCCACCAAAUGUCUCAACACUCUACUUAUUUUCUCAGAUGCUUUGUCUAACUUUAUCCCUCUAAUUUAACGUUUCAUGAUUAAAUUGGAUUUUAAGAUCUGGAUAAAAAUUCUGCAUGCACGUCAUACUAUUAGAAUCAACAUAAAAUGUAUUGUGUAAAGAAAACAAACAAACAACACAUAUUUAAACAUAAUGGAAAAAGGGACUCUCUAUUUAAUUGAAAUGAAAGAUAGAAGGGUUUGAAUAUAAACGACAAAGGGACAAAACAAGAUAGAUCCUAAACUACAAACCUACAAUAAUUCGGAUAAUAGAAAAGAAAAUAAAAUAAACUACCAGACCUCUUCCUAUUAAGGAAAGGAGUAACAUCUUAAUUGUUGAGCCUGACAUCUUAGCCACUGGUUUGCACAUCAGCAUGACUAGAGCUUUUACCAUUGUCAAUUUUCUGCACCAUAAUUGAUUUAUCUUGAAUAAUCUUUUCUAUUUCUCUUUUCAAAGAAAGACAAUAUUUAAUACUGUGACCCUGAACAUCAGAAUGAUAUGCAUAUCGUAUAUUAGGAUUAAAAUUUCUUAAAUAUGGGUUAGGAGUGUUCCCAAGAAGAUGAGUGAUCAUGCCUGACUGUACCAAUCUCUCGAAUAAACUGGCAUAUGACUAUCCUAUUGGUGUGGAACUAUCCCUUGACUUCUGCCUCAUUUUAUUGUUUGGCUUUGAUAAAAAAAUCGAGCCUAGAAGGGCUUUGGUAUGUUUAUGGAGUUGGAGGAUGACUCUGAGGAGUUGGUAUGUGCCAUUGUGGGUAUAAUGGGUGUUGAACAUGAGGUUGUGCAUUGUAUACUAGAUAUGGAGAUGGGGAAAUGAAGUAUAAUGGAAUUUGGGAGCGAUUAUGUAGAGCUUGGGUAUGAGCUUGAGCUUGAGCUUGAGCCUAAGGGUAAAGACGACGUGGUCUUCUUGACCGUGCCCAUUGUCUAAUUUCAAUAGAAGAUGCAUCUUUCUCAGUCUUCUUCCCCCCAACACUUCUUGAACCCUUUUGAAUUACUUGAGUAGUGUUUUCAAUAUUGCAAAACUCAUAAUGCGACCGGUCUUAAUUCCAUCCUCUAUCAUCUCCCCCAUUUUGAGGACCUUAAUAAAUGACUUUCCUAAUGCAGGUAACAAGUGUUGAUGAUAUAUUUCAUCCUACGCUUGAAUAAAUACCUCCACUAUCUUGCUUUCUUUCAAUAGCGGUUUAACCCUAGUAGCUUGUUCACUCCAUCUAAUUGCAUACUCUCUGAAACUUUCAGUACUCUUCUUCUUCAUAUUAAUUGGGGAUUUCUCAUCAGGAAUCAACUCCACAUUAUAUUGGAAUUGUUGCAUGAAUUCAUUAGAUAGGUCAUCCCAACUAUUCUACUUGUUGAUGUCUUGGUCAACAAACCAUUCUGAAGUUAAACCUGAAAGACUCUCACCGAAAUAAGCCAUUAGUAAUUCUUUCUUCCCUCCAGCACCCCUUAGUUGGUUACAAUAAAGUCUCAAAUAUGCUACAGGAUUAUUAUGUCCAUUAUACUUCUCAAACUUUGGUAUUUUAAAACCAAGAUGGAGAUUAACACUUUGAAAUAUACACAGAUCUUUAUAUGAGACACUUUUGUACCCCCAAAUCCUUAGAAGUUCUUCAUAACCAGUUCCAAAGUUCUUAAUUUUCUGGUCAUUUCCUCUUGUUCUUCUGUCGUAACAGGCUUUUCAGCAUUAAGAGAAAAUUCAGGCAGGUAAGUGUAGCCAUAAGGACUAGUUAAGUUAAAUGUGGGCUCAAGAGCAUAAUGUUGAUCAUCAGAAAUAUUCAAUACAGGCUCGCUUACAGAGUGAGAAAGCACAACCGUUGGAUGGCCAUCAGAAGUACGAGCUUCAUGUGGGGGUGGAGCUGCAAAAAUGGGAAUUGCAGGUGGAACCGAGUAUAUGGUAGUUUGUAUUGAGGAGCUAGGAGAAUAAUAUUAGAAGUGUUAGGAUAGUGUUGCCCUAAAGUAAAUACUGAUGCAUGCUGUGGUGUGUCAACAAAAAUAGGGCCUUGUACAUGUGAUACUGGAGGCAAGCUAGAGAGAUAUUCCAAAUUAUCAAUGGAAAAUGGAGGAGGCAGCAACCCAUUAGACCAAACUCGAUGCAUUUCUAUCAUUUGCUGCCUUAAUUUCUAAAUCUCUUCAUUAGCUUCUAAAUUCUCAUUUCCCGAACUCCCUAGUGAUAACAACCUCGUUAUCCUUGUUGGCCAUAACUUUCUCUUUGACUUGGUGCAAUAUGGAGGACCAGCCAAAAUGCCACAAACCAACCACCUUAAACUAACUGAACAAGAGAUAACAAAUGCAUUAGAGUUCAAUAUUUUUUCAAAAUCUCUUUUUGUUUCUCUUUAUUUUUUCUUUUGAAAAGAUCACCUAACCCAAGAAGGGCACCUAUGUAUCUCACCCUCGAAAGCGGAGAAUCAGGUGUACGUAGUUUAUGAAGUUUGACAAAAAAAAUGACCAAUCAAAUGCUCUUUGUUUUUCUUUAUUUUUCUUGAAACUUUAAGAAGAAAAGAAAAUAAAGUGUCAAAAGAAUUGACGAGACUCUUUUUGAAUUUUUUCAGCUUUUAAAUCCCUAUACAAAAUGAAACCUAUGAUUACCAAAUUUUUUUUUUUUUUGGGUUUUUGAUAUUGAAUUUCAUACCAAAAUCAAACUUGAACCUAUUAAAGGAAAAUCUUUUUGUAAUUUUCUUUUUAAGAUGUAUAUGAAACACCUACACCUACUCUAAAUGAAGAGUGAAGAAAAUAUUAUUUUGAAUUUUUUAAAUAAAAUCACCGAACUCUAGAAGGGCUGCCUACGUAUCUCACUCCAGAAAGAGGAGAAUCAGUUGUGCGUAGUUUGUCCAGAUUGGACAAUUAAAGAUUAAAAAACUGGCUGAACCCUAACUAGAGAGGCACGACCAAAGAUAGGCGAUGGAAAAUGUUAAUAAAAUCUUUUUUGAGUUUUCAAUUUGACACUUCACAUUAAAAUGACACCAACAAGUAUGAAAGAAUUUUUUUUUUUGAUAUUUUUAUUAUAUGAAAUGUACAAAUCUACCAUCCCUUUUUUUGAACUUUUCUCAUAUAAAAAACUCCUAUUAGAAAAAAAAAUUGAAAAAUUUUGAAUUAUGAAUGCUUGCUAGAGAAAUAAAAGGAAAUUUUUUUUGAUGUUUUUUUUUUUUUUAGAAAUGAGUGCAAAAUAUAAUUUGUUUUGAACUUUUGAGCUGUGGAAAACAAAAACCAUAAAGAAAAAGAGCCCCUAAAAACUACGAGACUCUUUUGUUUUUGUUGACACCUAAUUUUUGCCCUCCACGACUAAAUUUAAUCCUGAGUUUCUUCGGUUUUUAAUAAAAUUAAAACAUUUGUUUCAUCCGAAUAAAAACUUUUCAAAAUAUUUUGUACGUAAUUUUUUCAUUUUAAGUAGCGAUUAUAUAUUAUCGUAUUCAAUUGUACGAAAUUAUAUAAUUUUAUUACUUAAAUAUUUAUUUUACGAAAUAUCAUAUUUUAAUCAAGGGGCUCAUCUUGAAAAUAAAUUCAAAUGGUUACAAUCUUGAUUUAAACAUCAUUUGUUCAUGAAAAUAAUUUAUUCGAAUUGAUAUGUGUUUGAUUUUAUUAAUCAAGAAGCUCGGGAUUGAAUGAGGUAUUAAUUAGUAUCGAAUUUCAAUAGAAUUUAGUCAAUUUAUUUAAUUCGGUCAUAAUUGUAAUUAAAUUGACCACAAUUGUAAUGCAAUUGACCAUUUGAUUUUCAAUAUGGUCGAAAAUUCUGACCAACUCUUAAACUAAUUGGGGUUAUUUAUUAAAUAACCCGAAUUAUACAUAAUCUAUCCUUUCCCAAAAGUAGCCAAAUCAGCCCAUUUUUCCCUUUUAAUUUCAGCAGCCCAAUUUCCAAGCCCAACACCAUAUCAACCAGCCUACCAGCCCAAGUUCCAGCUGACCCGGCCCACCAUACUUGUUUUCCACACAACAACAUCAACGACGAUACCGAAUAGACCAAAAAAAGAAAAAAGAAAAAAAGGAACUCCGUAGAAAACAAUGACAAUGCCAGCCGCUUCCCUAUCGACCAAACUGGUGCAACAAACCAACAUCGCCGACGACCGACGGCUACAACCGACAAAGCCGACAACCGUCAAAAUCCGGCGAACAGCAAUCACAGCAGCCUCAAACCACGACAACUCUGAAUAACAGUGAAACCCGACCCAAUUUCAUUCGACCGACCCCCCUUUUCUUGACCCGAAUACAAUAACCCAGCUCCGACCCGUCGACCCGCAACGCACCAGCUCAGCGUACUAAAUAGUAUGAUUUUCGUAGGAUUCGUCUUAUCCCUAAUUCAAAAUUUAAAUUCCUUCAGCUAAAUCCCCAAAUUGUCCUUGAAAUUCUCAGCCCACAUCGCCAAAAAUAACAAUUCAUCUCAAAAUUUCUUCUAUAUAAGACCCUUUGUUGAGUUGAAAAUAUCUAGUUUCAAAGAGGAAAAACCUCGAGCAAGAAGUCUUGGAAGGUUGGAAAAAACUUUCAAAGAAAAAAGUCUAUUUUCUAGUAAAAACAUUUAUCGUGAAAAUUCAAUGAGUUUUUGGAGUCGCGGUGAAACUUUCCAGUGAUGGUCGAUAUUCCGUUGGUAGCUCGUAAUUUCGUUUUGCUUCUCCAAAAGAGGUAAGCACUUCUUUUUCAUUUUAACUUCUGUUGUAGCUUUUUUUCUUUUAUUCUUCUCCUUCUUUAUAAUGUUGUUGUUGAUUGCUUGCUGGGAGUAGCUAUACAAGCCAUGAAGGCCUUAGGAUUUUGUAUGAUGAUUUAUUCUGGAAGCAGACUUAUUUUCGCUUAAAGGGUUAAGGUUUGUGCCUUUUCGUUGAUUUCUCUUUGGAAUUGAACUUUGUCGCUUUAAUUUUGUGUUACGCUUUCUUUUUGUGCCGUUAUAAGGUCUAACAGGAGUAUAUUGGUGUGGGAAAGGUAUCUGCCAUUUGGGUUGACAAAGGACAUGCUAAAAUCUGUUUUCAAAAUGGUUCAUUAGGUCCUUUAAAUAGUCAGGUUUCUUUAUGAGUAUUUGUUCGACCUUCUGUGAUAAAACGAAUCGUAGUGCGACUUAGUGUGUACUGUGUCAUGAUAAUGUUAUUUCUUAACUACUAAAAUUUGUUUAGGAUAUCGUGAAGGUUCUUCUUUCUUUUAUCCGAUUUAAUUCACAUGUUGCGAUUCCAUACUUUUCAUUGUGAAUUUUUGAUCACCGUUUCAGUGCUAUCCUUGUUUGAUCUAGAUCUCAUGUAUUAGAUCCCUUUUGAUUUACUAUUUUUUCGAUCCAACAAUAAGUUGAAUGCAUUAGUUUUGUAACUUAUGUUCCAAAUUCUACCUUCAAAAUCUCCGCAACACCAGGCUUUUCUUUCUCUUUUCAUUGCUAAUUAUAAGCUUGUUGUAGAUGUAUACUUAAGCAUUGUGGCCUGAUUCGCUACUUUUAUUAUUUUUUUGUUUGUUUUGUUCCUUAUAUCAGUUUGUUGUUGCCUUUUUCAUUCCUGAAGCUCCUUUUGACAAAAGAUGUCAAGCAUGGAUAAAGGAAUGUUAUACAAGUUCCUUAUUCCAUUGAAAGUUACAAUUGAUGUGUUAACAUUCUCAUGAUAUUGUAAUAAUAGUUUCGAUGUUCUAGUGCAAAUUUGUGGAUGUUCUUGUCGUAUAGAUAUUGAAAAAUUCACUCUCGAUAUCCCUUGCAGCAGAAAUUCCUAUCUUCCAAUAUUGUAUUGCGCAAAUAGGUUACUUGUCUUUUCUUUCUUCCUUUUUAUCCUGUUCAUCUCUAACUUGUGAAAAGUUGAAUGUUGAAUCUUAGUUGCACACUAAAAAGCUUGAUAAUCUGAGAUUUUUAUAGUUCAUAAGCUUCUUUGGUUGCGAUUUGCUCAUGUUCUUAUCCACUAUUUAUCCCUGCCUUUGCCUGACUACUAAGUUUUUCUUAAGUCUUUCAGUUUAUAUCUUUGUGUCACCAAAGUUUUCUGUAGCAUUAUAACAUAAUCUGUUACCUUUGUUGCUCGCAAUUGUGAGAAUUUCCUAUUUUUUCUUAUCCUCUCUGAUUUAUUUGGAAAUCAUUGGUUGAUAUAAGUUUCUCUUCAAUUUUGCGAGCCGUUGUUUUCUCUAUAUCUGUGUGUUUAGCCGCUAAUUUAGAACACAUAUUAAGUACUUUGCUUUUCUUUUGCAUGUGGAUACGUUCGAGCCCUACAUGGACUCCUUUGCCUUUGCAUAUUUUUGGUCGGCCAUUGAGGCCCAAUUACCCAAGUCGAUCUCGAAAGAUUAAGUCCAAAGACAAUCUCAAGGCAUAUGGAUAUGAGAAGAUGGAAGAAGAAGGAAGAGGCUUAUUUACUUUAUUAGUCUUGUUUUUAUUUCCUUUAUUUAUUUACUUAUUCAUUUAUUUGGGCCUCGAAGCCAAAGUUGUAAAUUAAUAUAUGUAAAACGAGACUCACGCCAAAGGUUCGAAAAUAGUUUGGGACAGGUGAAGAUGGGCCGAAGGCCCAACAUUUAGAUUAGGACAAGUGCAAGUUGGCCAAAAGCGUAAUUAGAUUAGGACGGGAUCUAUUGAUUUGAGCUCAAUGGCCUAAGUCUUUUAUAAUCUUCCCUUCCCUUUUACAUGCUUUGUUAUUAAUUUGUUUAGACUUAGUUAAAAUCUCUACUAAGUCGUCCAAACCUAUUUUUACACAAGUUUUUUCCUAAAAUCAAUUACUUUUCAACAAUCAAUCUUUCUUUUAGAAGUUAUUCAUAAGAUAUUUUCAAAUAGUUCGGAUAACCGCAAGUUAGUAGAUGUUUUAGGUGCCUUAAAACUUUCCUAAAAUGUUAAUAGGAGCCGCUUAUCUAGAAUUCAACUUAAAUAAUUUUUCUAUUUUGAAUCAUCUAAGUACUUUACGAAGGUUUCUUAAUUUCUUUUCAAAAUUAGGUACUGACUCUCAGAAGUUAAAAUUUUUGCAAAACAGAAAUAACGACUCUGCUGGGGAUUUUAACUAGGUUCUCUAACCAAAUGUUUGAUUUCAUCUUUUGACUAACUGUUUAAUUUGGUUAUGUGUUUAUAUGUUUUGAUUUUGCAGAAUUUAAUCAUUGCAUCCCAUAGCAUAAUUUUGCAUUGAUUAUUAAAUUAUUUUGGGGUUUCGUGGAUGUCCUGACUCGUGUUGUUCAAUUCUAAAUAAAUUUUUAGAAAUACGAUGAUUUAUUAGCAGGUGAGGUGUAUGAUAGUUGUUUGUAGUUUCAAACCCAAGUCGUUCACUUGGAAACCUGGUUUAAACCCAUUGUAGAUACCUAGGAUAGAGCUAAACCAAAACAUUUUUAGUAUAAGCCUAGGAGGAUCCAAUACCCGAAGGAGGGUGUUGGGCUCAUUAGAAAACUUGCCCUGCGUUUAUUGACCCCGAGUCUAUUACAGACGAAUUAUAUUUAUGUGUUGAAGAAAUAUAUGUUUGUUUAAUCCAAUCCAUUAUCCUUCGGGGUUCGGGAGAAGGUUUAAUUUGUUUACUUUCGUGUAAGGAUGCCUCAAUCAUACACCAAUUGAGGGAGGAAUUGAAGAAAGUCAAGAAAUUGAUUGAUUUGGAUGGUUGUAUCUAGAGAACAGUUAUACGAAAAUUGGUUGAUCAUCAACAGAUGUAGCCAAUGACAAAAAUGGACAAAUCUAAGAGGGUGAAGGCCGAUAGAAGAGCAUUUAGGAAUUGACAUUUCUUAUCCCCUGCGCGGGAUAUUGUUCUUUUUCUCAUGUUAUUUUUCCUUUCCCUAAAGAUUGUAUCCUUUUUGUGUAAUUUUUGUAGGCAUUUAUGCCAUUUAUGUACACAUAUGAAGGUUUUUGGGGGAUUAUGGAUUGGUUUUAAAAAGCAUAUACUUCCUUCAAAUACGUUAGGCCAACCCCUGGCUCAAAAGGGUCACCCAAUUAGGAUGCAUGUUUAUUACAAUAUGCUUGUGUGAUAUAACUGCUUAUGUGCUUAUACGUGCUAUAUUGAUUCAAAUCAAUGGCGAAUUGAUCCAAUCCCUUUUUCCACGGAGCAUCUCGAGGUAGA